AAGUAAUAGUGCAGGUGCUUGUAAGAGAACAAGGGUACUGAGCGUGACCAAGACAAGAAGUCACUUGGAUGUCUAUCCACUCGUCAGUGACUUGCUUGAUGUUGCAGUAGUGUGACUGGUCCUUUGACCUGCGAUGCUUCAGCUACUCACAGUGAGGUUAUUGUAGUUUGACUGCACAUAUACAUGGUCUCUAGCCAUAUGGGUCCAUGCAAUGUAGAUUGGCUGCAGUAGGUUCACUGUAGGAGUAGGGUAUGCACCUAUAAGGAAUCUAUCGACCUUGAUAGAUAAGGAGAGAUCCUAUGUGAUUUAUAAGACUAAGUUCGUAAGAACUCGGCCGGGGCAGAUUGCACAGUGGAGAAAGAGUUCUCCGCUCUCGAACUUAAGUCGAAUAAAUCUUGACAUAUGACAGACGAAGGGGUUUGACGAGUUAUCCAUGACCUCCAUCCUGUAGGGAUCCACGAUAGAAGGACUGUAUCACAUAAUAACUGCACCUAGAGGUUCAUCAUUCUAUUCUGCUGGGUAGCCACUACAUGCUGCUAGGUGUCACUGGUGGAUGGUGAGACUCACAAAGAAUAUCUCGAUGAUCGAUAAACCCUAAUGAGUUGAGUUGGAAUCGUUCCAACCCAUUGAAAGGAGUUUUCAAUGAUAUUGUGAUAGAGAUCACAAUAUAUCUCACUACCAGUCAGAAUAGAACCUAUGGGGUCACACACACUAGAAGUAUUGACCGAUCCGAUGGUUGAAAUGUGAUUAUGAAUCACGAGUAAUCAAUUCGAUUGAUAAUCAAUUGAAGAAGGAACACUGGGGAUUGAUUAGU
rnacentral:lncRNA from 1 species